AGCUCCAAUGACGUAUAUUAAAGCUAUUGCAGUUAAAACGCUAGUAGGUGAAUUUCUGAUAGGGGGGAUCUGUCCAGAAAAUAUUGUUUGAAGUGGAUCAUUUCCGGUCAACCUCGGGUUCAUCUUGUCUGGUAUUCAGUUAUCAGUCAGGGAAUGCCCAUCAUUCACUGUGAAAAAUUAAAGUGUUUAAAAAGGCUUAUGUCAUUGAAUAUAUUAGCAUGGAAUUAUAAGACAAAGUAAUUGUGCUACUUUGUUGGUUUGCGUACUAAGGUAAUGAUUAAUAGGUUCAGUUCAAGAUAUUUGUAUUCAGUAUUCAGUCGUGAGAUACUUAAACCUACAGAAGAUAAUCCACUGCAAAAGCAUUUAAUAACGAUAUUUUCA
rnacentral:rRNA from 1 species